rnacentral:rRNA from 1 species
CAGGGAUUGCCCUAGUAACGGCGAGUGAAGCGGCAACAGCUCAAAUUUGAAAUCUGGCUUUCGGGCCCGAGUUGUAAUUUGUAGAGGAUACUUUUGAUGCGGUGCCUUCCGAGUUCCCUGGAACGGGACGCCAUAGAGGGUGAGAGCCCCGUCUGGUUGGAUGCCAAAUCUCUGUAAAGUUCCUUCGACGAGUCGAGUAGUUUGGGAAUGCUGCUCUAAAUGGGAGGUAUAUGUCUUCUAAAGCUAAAUAUUGGCCAGAGACCGAUAGCGCACAAGUAGAGUGAUCGAAAGAUGAAAAGCACUUUGAAAAGAGAGUUAAAAAGUACGUGAAAUUGUUGAAAGGGAAGCGUUUAUGACCAGACUUGGACUUGGUUAAUCAUCUGGGGUUCUCCCCAGUGCACUUUUCCAGUUCAGGCCAGCAUCAGUUUUCGCCGGGGGAUAAAGGCAGCGGGAAUGUGGCUCUCUUCGGGGAGUGUUAUAGCCCGUUGUGUAAUACCCUGGUGGGGACUGAGGUUCGCGCUUCUGCAAGGAUGCUGGCGUAAUGGUCAUCAACGACCCGUCUUGAAACACGGACCAAGGAGUCGUCUUCGUAUGCGAGUGUUCGGGUGUCAAACCCCUACGCGUAAUGAAAGUGAACGCAGGUGAGAGCUUCGGCGCAUCAUCGACCGAUCCUGAUGUUCUCGGAUGGAUUUGAGUAAGAGCAUACGGGGCCGGACCCGAAAGAAGGUGAACUAUGCCUGUAUAGGGUGAAGCCAGAGGAAACUCUGGUGGAGGCUCGCAGCGGUUCUGACGUGCAAAUCGAUCGUCAAAUAUGGGCAUGGGGGCGAAAGACUAAUCG